rnacentral:rRNA from 1 species
AGUAAAAGUCGUAACAAGGUCUCCGUAGGUGAACCUGCGGAGGGAUCAUUACAAGUGACCCCGGUUUACCACCGGGAUGUUCAUAACCCUUUGUUGUCCGACUCUGUUGCCUCCGGGGCGACCCUGCCUUCGGGCGGGGGCUCCGGGUGGACACUUCAAACUCUUGCGUAACUUUGCAGUCUGAGUAAACUUAAUUAAUAAAUUAAAACUUUUAACAACGGAUCUCUUGGUUCUGGCAUCGAUGAAGAACGCAGCGAAAUGCGAUAAGUAAUGUGAAUUGCAGAAUUCAGUGAAUCAUCGAAUCUUUGAACGCACAUUGCGCCCCCUGGUAUUCCGGGGGGCAUGCCUGUUCGAGCGUCAUUUCACCACUCAAGCCUCGCUUGGUAUUGGGCAACGCGGUCCGCCGCGUGCCUCAAAUCGACCGGCUGGGUCUUCUGUCCCCUAAGCGUUGUGGAAACUAUUCGCUAAAGGGUGUUCGGGAGGCUACGCCGUAAAACAACCCCAUUUCUAAGGUUGACCUCGGAUCAGGUAGGGAUACCCGCUGAACUUAAGCAUAUCAAUAAGCGGAGGAAAAGAAACCAACAGGGAUUGCCCCAGUAACG